rnacentral:lncRNA from 1 species
UACUAUAAAUCUAUAGUAAUCAAACAGUAUGGCUCUGGCAUAAGGAUAGAAAUAUAGGUUAAUAAUAAAAUAGUACAAUUGUAACAAUACACUGUAAUAAAAGUUAUGUGAAUGUGGUCUGUCUCUCUCUCAAAAUGUUUUAUUGUACUAUAUUCAUGCAUAAUAUUUUCAGACCACAGUUGACUAGGGGUAACGGAAACCACAGAACAUAAAACUGCAAAUAAGAGAAUGAUGACAGCUACUAUAUUUAAGAGCUAAUAAUAUACAAUUCUUAGAAGAAAACAG